rnacentral:rRNA from 1 species
ACGAACGCUGGCGGCGUGCUUCACACAUGCCAGUCGAACGGAAAGGCCCUGCUUUUGUGGGGUGCUCGAGUGGCGAACGGGUGAGUAACACGUGAGUAACCUGCCCUUGACUUUGGGAUAACUUCAGGAAACUGGGGCUAUACCGGAUAGGAGCUCCUGCUGCAUGGUGGGGGUUGGAAAGUUUCGGCGGUUGGGGAUGGACUCGCGGCUUAUCAGCUUGUUGGUGGGGUAGUGGCUUACCAAGGCUUUGACGGAUAGCCGGCCUGAGAGGGUGACCGGCCACAUUGGGACUGAGAUACGGCCCAGACUCCUACGGGAGGCAGCAGUGGGGAAUAUUGCACAAUGGGCGGAAGCCUGAUGCAGCAACGCCGCGUGCGGGAUGACGGCCUUCGGGUUGUAAACCGCUUUCGCCUGUGACGAAGCGUGAGUGACGGUAAUGGGUAAAGAAGCACCGGCUAACUACGUG